rnacentral:misc_RNA from 1 species
AACGCACCUUGCACUCUCUGGUAUUCCGGAGAGUACGCCUGUUCGAGUGUCAUGAGACUCUCAAGCAGAGAUAGCUUUCUCUGUUUGGAAUUGGACUCUGCUGUGUAAAUGCGGCUAGUCUUAAAUGCAUUAGCUAGUCCUUGUGCAGGAUUUUGGUUCUACUCGGCGUGAUAAUUAUCUGACGUUGAGGACAGUCUUAGGACUGGCCAGAGUCCCCCCUUGGAUUGCUUCUAAUUUGAUUGUCUUUGGACAAGAUAUAUUUUUAAUAAUCUGACCUCGAAUCAGGUGGGAUUACCCGCUGAACUUAA